UCCGGCCCUGCAAGGGGCGUGGAAUCAAAAGGGAAUCAGGUGAAAUUCCUGGACAGUACCCGCUGCUGUAACUCCCCUCAAACACAUCGCGCGGCAUCAUGCCACUGGCUGCAACGUUUAUGGCUGCAUCAUCACCGGGAAGGCGCCAGCGCGAUGGGGGAGAAGUCAGAAGACCUGCCUUCAC
rnacentral:ncRNA from 1 species